UCCCAUUCCAACACAUUUUAUUAUAUAUUUCUGAAAUAACUGAUAUAAAAUUUGUUUUGAUUAUCAAGCUGAUAUUCAUGGCAAUACAGAAAUCCAUUUAAUUAAAGUUUAUCAUUUUAAUUCAUGCAAACCAAGGGCAAACGGUAUGUAUUUAAAGAGACCAUGUAGGCACUACCAUUUCCUGUCCUUGAAUUGAUUAUAGUGCCUAGUCCUUAAUAC